rnacentral:ribozyme from 14 species
GAAGGAAAAAAAAAAAAAAAAAGAAAAAACGGAAAUGU